AGCGACUACGACGUCGUAUGCUCGCUCUAAUAAAAAUGAAGACAUAGUCUGAACCAUUUUGUGAAAAAUGGAAAUAAAAUUUAUUAUGAUAACAUGUAGAACAGGCUAAUUUGCGCAAGAGUGUACAAAAUGAGUGCGCGGUUUGGCACCUCGAUGUCGGCUUAACUUAUCCUCAUGGAUGCAGAAACUAUGUAGGGUACGACUGUUCGUCGAUUAAAAAGUUACAUGAGCUGGGUUAAAUACGUCGUGAGACAGUAUGGUUUCUAUCUUCUAGAGGGAAUUUGAAUAAAAUAAGGAUUAACCUUUGUACGAAAGGAACAGGAAAAACUUAGCCCCUCCAUUUCCGACUACUGCGUAGCCAGGAACGAAGGCGGGAUUAAAGUUAGGUUAUAUUAAUUGUUAACCUCUGGUUUACCUGUUGUUUAUAAGCCGAAUAUUUCAUUAAGUCGGGGGUUCUCAAUAAACUAAAAAAGAUGAGAGUUCUCAUAGCUUAACCGACUUAAUUACGGGGGAGUACUCGAAACCUGAGAGAUGUCCCUACCUUAAACGCGGAUGUUACUUUCACUUAAGUAAAUAUAUAUUAUAGGCACGGCAGGAAAGCUAAGUUAGUUAAAGAUAAGUGCUGAAAGCAUAUAGGCACGAAGCUUACCUUAAGAUAUUUCUAAUUCACGUAAUAUAAUAUUACGGUAUAGUAUUAUAGUAAUACUAUUAUUAUAAUAAUAGUAU
rnacentral:ncRNA from 1 species